AUUGAACGCUGGCGGCAUGCUUUACACAUGCAAGUCGAACGGUAACAGGCCGCAAGGUGCUGACGAGUGGCGAACGGGUGAGUAAUGCAUCGGAACGUGCCCAGUCGUGGGGGAUAACGCAGCGAAAGCUGUGCUAAUACCGCAUACGAUCUAUGGAUGAAAGCGGGGGACCGUAAGGCCUCGCGCGAUUGGAGCGGCCGAUGUCAGAUUAGGUAGUUGGUGGGGUAAAGGCCUACCAAGCCGACGAUCUGUAGCUGGUCUGAGAGGACGACCAGCCACACUGGGACUGAGACACGGCCCAGACUCCUACGGGAGGCAGCAGUGGGGCAUUUUGGACAAUGGGCGCAAGCCUGAUCCAGCCAUUCCGCGUGCAGGAUGAAGGCCCUCGGGUUGUAAAGCACUUUUGUCCGGAAAGAAAUGGCUCUGGUUAAUACCUGGGGUCGAUGACGGUACCGGAAGAAUAAGGACCGGCUAACUACGUGCCAGCCGCCGCGGUAACAC
rnacentral:rRNA from 1 species